rnacentral:rRNA from 1 species
UACGUAGGGGGGCUAGCGUUGUCCGGAAUCAUUGGGCGUAAAGCGCGUGUAGGCGGCCCGGUAAGUCCGCUGUGAAAGUCGGGGGCUCAACCCUCGAAUGCCGGUGGAUACUGUCGGGCUAGAGUACGGAAGAGGCGAGUGGAAUUCCUGGUGUAGCGGUGAAAUGCGCAGAUAUCAGGAGGAACACCAAUUGCGAAGGCAGCUCGCUGGGACGUAACUGACGCUGAGACGCGAAAGCGUGGGAGCAAACAGG